UCAUAUUACAGUUAAUGACUUUGGGAUAUGGAAUUCUUUAUUCAUCCUGAUUCAUCUUGGAUUUCCUCAUUAGCUUAGUAGUUUGAGGAAUUUCUAUAACAGCCAUGGUCUUCAAGUGAUGUACUCUAUGUUUUAUGUACUUGAUUUGAAUGUUUAUUUAGUAAACAACUUGGCCAAAUGUUUCUCUUAGGUUCUGUCUUUGUGAUCAUAUGGAAACCUCAAAUCUUCGCUUCCCACUGUAUCAAAUUCCUUGGGAUCCUUAUGACGCAAAAAGAAGCUUAUUCUCCUAAGAUAUGUGAGAUGGCCAAGUUCUUGGGCAAAGACAUUUGUUUGCUUGAAGACAUCAACACCUUCUAACUGCUCCAAUGCCAUCAUGCUUCUGAUCCCAGCUGGAGUGCAUCAACUUUCAUGAGAUAAUGAUCCAGUGGACGUGCCAAUGACAAGGUCAUAGAAGAAGCUAUGCUUGAGGAAGCUAUGAGUGACUGAAGGAUUUCAUUUUCCGUACUAUCAUGUUUCAACUUUCAUUGGCCAGUCAUCAAAGAAGUAUGAUGUGUUUGGAUUUGGGGUUCUGUUAGUCAAGUUGAUCACUGGUAAGAAGGCGUUGGAUUUUGGAAGAGUAGCAAAUCAGAAAGGUGGAAUGCUCGACUAGGUUAAGAAACUUCAUAAAGAAAAGCAGCUACCUUUCUUUGGUGGACAAUGG